rnacentral:rRNA from 1 species
GAUGAACGCUGGCCGCGUGCCUAAUACAUGCAAGUCGAGCGAACGGACGAUAAGCUUGCUUCUCUGAUGUUAGCGGCGGACGGGUGAGUAACACGUGGAUAACCUACCUAUAAGACUGGGAUAACUUCGGGAAACCUGAGCUAAUACCGGAUAAUAUUUUGAACCGCAUGGUUCAAAAGUGAAAGACGGUCUUGCUGUCACUUAUAGAUGUAUCCGCGCUGCAUUAGCUAGUUGGUAAGGUAACGGCUUACCAAGGCAACGAUGCAUAGCCGACCUGAGAGGGUGAUCGGCCACACUGGAACUGAGACACGGUCCAGACUCCUACGGGAGGCAGCAGUAGGGAAUCUUCCGCAAUGGGCGAAAGCCUGACGGAGCAACGCCGCGUGAGUGAUGAAGGUCUUCGGAUCGUAAAACUCUGUUAUUAGGGAAGAACAUAUGUGUAAGUAACUGUGCACAUCUUGACGGUACCUAAUCAGAAAGCAACGGCUAACUACGUG